GGUCUUGUUGAAAAUAUGCUAUCAUGCUCAAUUGGAAUGAUACAAAGAAGAUUAGCAUGGCACUUGUAAAAGGAUAACACACAAAUUUGUGAAGUGUUCCAUAUUUUC
ensembl:snRNA RNU6-493P RNA, U6 small nuclear 493, pseudogene